GAAGCUGUAUCUCCCUGCUUUGGUCCAAUUUUCCAUGUAGGAUUUCCGGAGACACCACAUAGAUCAUGUGAUGGGAGACGUGGCGAGGGUUUUGAGUAGGUGAAGGGGGCCGAUUGGAAAUGAAGUAGAAUAAAAAGAAGGUAAAAAGGUGACAAGGAAAUCGAGAUUUUAAAAUUGUACUUUUAGGAAAAACUGCAGCUAAGGACCCUCGUCUAUAACCUCAGUACCUUUUAAAUAUCCACAAUACCCACAAUACCCACAGUACCUUAAAAGAGUCAGUCAGUCUCCCGAGUGACAGCUGUCCAAUCAGCUGACCAACCCCUCUGGCCUCCAAGGCGAGCAGCAUCCAGCUGGCCUGGGCCUCAGGGUGUCACAAUCCUUUCCCCACAGUUGACGUCAAGGAUGACACAAUGGGACAUUUACUGAGCGUUGACUUUAUUCCAGGCUCAUGGAUGGAAUCCAUGUGAUGAUACUUAGUAUGUUAUGUAGUGACACUACCCUAGUCACUUUCCUCAUUGCUAGAACAAAAUAAGGAAAGCUUUAUUUUAGCUCACAUUUCAGUCCAUGGUUAGCCAGCUCCAAGGCAGAACGGCACCUCAGAGGAGCCUGGCAGAGGAGAGCUGCUCACAGCAUGGUAGACAGGACGCAGACGGUGAAGGAGGGAGCCAGGGAGGGAGAUGCACCCUUCCAGGCCAGGUCCGCACCAACCUGACCCUUCCAACCAGAGCCCACCUCCUACCAGCGAUCAGCUGUAAGCCCCCAUAUCCAUUCACCUUCCGAAAGCCCCACCUAUGAGCGCAUGAGGCUCCUGGGGAACGUCUAGAAAUGAACCAUAAUGGACACCAUGAUUGUGACACACUUAUUAUUGUCACUGUACAAAUGUGAACUAGACACAGGCAAGGUUCCAACCCAGGCCUGGCAGGGCCCUGUGUUUCUAUAUUGCACAGGACAUUCACACGCAGCAGGAUAUGUGGCACAAAUGUGGUGCUAACGAAAACCCUUGCAAGACUCAGACCCUUCUUCCUGACACAAGUGCAACCACACCUGCUGUACCCACUUGUAAAGGCAUUGUCACCCAUGCAGAGUUGCUACGUGAGGCUUGGUUGUUAGUACCCUGAGUCACUGUGCCCUGCCGGAACUCUGCCCAUUGGGGACCCACAAAUGCUGUUUAUCAGCCCAGUCUGACUCCAGGGACUACGUGGCCUUUAAGCCCAGGCAGAUGUUUCUCAACAGCCAGGCCUGUUCAUCCCUCCCAUUUCUGGACCUCCAGGUGCACAGCUACUGGGGUCCCCUGUCCCCUUUCCUGCUGUGACCUCAGGCUAUGGCUUCCUUAUCC
rnacentral:lncRNA from 1 species